AGAGUUUGAUUAUGGCUCAGGAUGAACGCUGGCGGCGUGCUUAACACAUGCAAGUCGAACGGACAUAUACCGAAACCUAGUGAAGUAUAUGUUAGUGGCGGACGGGUGAGUAACGCGUGGAUAACCUGCCGUGCACAGGGGGAUAACACUUAGAAAUAGGUGCUAAUACCGCAUAAGCGCACAGUUUCGCAUGAGACAGUGUGAAAAGCCUGGAAGCGAUUCCGGGCGGUGCAUGAUGGAUCCGCGUCCGAUUAGCUAGUUGGCGGGGUAAAGGCCCACCAAGGCAGCGAUCGGUAGCCGGCCUGAGAGGGUGGACGGCCACAUUGGGACUGAGACACGGCCCAAACUCCUACGGGAGGCAGCAGUGGGGAAUAUUGCACAAUGGGGGAAACCCUGAUGCAGCGACGCCGCGUGAGUGAAGAAGUGAUUCGUCACGUAAAGCUCUAUCAGCAGGAAAGAAAAUGACGGUACCUGACUAAGAAGCCCCGGCUAACUACGUGCCAGCAGCCGCGGUAAUACGUAGGGGGCAAGCGUUAUCCGGAUUUACUGGGUGUAAAGGGAGCGU
rnacentral:rRNA from 1 species